rnacentral:rRNA from 1 species
UACGUAGGAUGCGAGCGUUAAUCGGAAUUACUGGGCGUAAAGCGUGCGCAGGCGGCGCGUUAAGACAGGUGUGAAAGCCCCGAGCUUAACUUGGGAAUUGCGCUUGUGACUGGCGUGCUGGAGUGUGGCAGAGGGAGGUGGAAUUCCACGUGUAGCAGUGAAAUGCGUAGAGAUGUGGAGGAACACCGAUGGCGAAGGCAGCCUCCUGGGCCAGCACUGACGCUCAUGCACGAAAGCGUGGGGAGCAAACAGG